UUCCGGUUGAUCCUGCCGGACCCCACUGCUAUCGGGGUGGGACUAAAACAUGCAAGUCGAGCGCCUCCAAGCUAUGGUGAAGGCGCGGCAAACGGCUCAGUAACACGUGGCCAACCUGCCCUUGGGACGGAGACAACCCCGGGAAACUGGGGCUAAUCCCCGAUAGGUGAGGAAUCCUGGAAUGGACCCUCGCCCAAAAGACGUUGAGUCCAUGCUACUCAGCGCCGCCCAAGGAUGGAGCCGCGACCGAUCAGGUAGUUGGCGAGGCAACGGCUCACCAAGCCUAUAACCGGUACGGGCCGUGAGAGCGGGAGCCCGGAGAUGGGCACUGAGACAAGGGCCCAGGCCCUACGGGGCGCAGCAGUUGCGAAAACUCCGCAAUGCGCGAAAGCGUGACGGGGCUACCCCGAGUGCCGCCCGUUGAGGGCGGCUUUUCCACGGUGUAAGGAGCCGUGGGAAUAAGGAGAGGGCAAGACUGGUGUCAGCCGCCGCGGUAAUACCAGCUCUCCGAGUGGUGGGGACGAUUAUUGGGCUUAAAGCGUUCGUAGCCGGCUUAACAAGUCUUCCGUUAAAUCCAACGAUCUAAUCGUUGGGCUGCGGGAGAUACUGUUGGGCUAGGAGGCGGGAGAAGCCGACGGUAUUCUCGGGGUAGGGGUGAAUCCUGUAAUCCCGGGAGGACCACCAGUGGCGAAGGCGGUCGGCUAGAACGCGCUCGACGGUGAGGGACGAAAGCUGGGGGAGCGAACCGGAUUAGAAACCCGGGUAGUCCCAGCUGUAAACGAUGCGGGCUAGGUGUUGGGGUGGCCACGAGCCACUUCAGUGCCGCAUGGAAAGCAAUUAAGCCCGCCGCCUGGGGAGUACGGCGCGAGCUGAAACUUAAAGAAUUGCGGGGAGCACACAGCGUGAAGCUUGCGUUUAUGACUCAACGCG
rnacentral:rRNA from 1 species